rnacentral:tRNA from 1 species
GCCCCGAUAGCUCAGAUGGCAGAGCGCAUCCUUGGUAAGGAUGAGGUCUCCGGUUCAAUCCCGGAUCGGGGCU